UACGGAGGGUGCAAGCGUUAUCCGGAUUUACUGGGGUUAAAGGGUGCGUAGGUGGGUCUGUAAGUCAGUAGUGAAAGCCCCAAGCUUAACUUGGGAAGUGCUUUUGAUACUGCAGAGCUUGAAUGUGGGAGAGGGUAGUGGAAUUCCAGGUGUAGUGGUGAAAUACGUAGAUAUCUGGAGGAACACCGGUGGCGAAGGCGGCUACCUGGCCCAACAUUGACACUGAGACCCGAAAGCGUGGGGAUCAAACAGG
rnacentral:rRNA from 1 species